rnacentral:rRNA from 1 species
ACGAACGCUGGCGGCGUGCUUAACACCUGCAAGUCGAACGGAAAGGCCUUUUCGGAGGUACUCGAGUGGCGAACGGGUGAGUAACACGUGGGUGAUCUGCCCUGCACUCUGGGAUAAGCCUGGGAAACUGGGUCUAAUACCGGAUAGGACCGCACUUUAGUGUGUGUGGUGGAAAGUUUUUUCGGUGUAGGAUGAGCCCGCGGCCUAUCAGCUUGUUGGUGGGGUAAUGGCCUACCAAGGCGGCGACGGGUAGCCGGACUGAGAGGUUGGUCGGCCACAUUGGGGCUGAGAUACGGCCCAGACUUCUACGGGGGGCAGCAGGGGGGAAUAUUGCAAAAUGGGCGCAAGCCUGAUGCAGCGACGCCGCGUGGGGGAUGACGGCCUUCGGGUUGUAAACUCCUUUCGCCAGGGACGAAGCGUUUUGUGACGGUACCUGGAGAAGAAGCACCGGCUAACUACGUG